rnacentral:rRNA from 1 species
UAGGGGGCAAGCGUUAUCCGGAUUUACUGGGUGUAAAGGGAGCGUAGACGGCGAUGCAAGCCAGAUGUGAAAGCCCGCGGCUCAACUGCGGGACUGCAUUUGGAACUGUAUGGCUGGAGUGCAGGAGAGGCAGGCGGAAUUCCUAGUGUAGCGGUGAAAUGCGUAGAUAUUAGGAGGAACACCAGUGGCGAAGGCGGCCUGCUGGACUGUAACUGACGUUGAGGCUCGAAAGCGUGGGGAGCAAA